AUACAGAGGGUGCGAGCGUUAAUCGGAAUUACUGGGCGUAAAGCGCGCGUAGGCGGCUUGGUCAGUCGGAUGUGAAAGCCCCGGGCUCAACCUGGGAAUGGCAUUCGAUACUGCCAGGCUAGAGUAUGGGAGAGGGAAGUGGAAUUUCCGGUGUAGCGGUGAAAUGCGUAGAUAUCGGAAGGAACACCAGUGGCGAAGGCGACUUCCUGGCCCAAUACUGGCGCUGAGGUGCGAAAGCGUGGGGAGCGAACAGGAUUAGAAACCCCAGUAGUCC
rnacentral:rRNA from 1 species